rnacentral:tRNA from 1 species
GAUUGAUUAGUUUAAAAUAAAACUAAUGUUUUGAAAACAUUAAAUAGAAUAUAUCUUUCUAUCAAUCA